rnacentral:rRNA from 1 species
GACGAACGCUGGCGGCGUGCCUAAUACAUGCAAGUUGAGCGCUGAAGGUUGGUACUUGUACCAACUGGAUGAGCAGCGAACGGGUGAGUAACGCGUGGGGAAUCUGCCUUUGAGCGGGGGACAACAUUUGGAAACGAAUGCUAAUACCGCAUAAAAACUUUAAACACAAGUUUUAAGUUUGAAAGAUGCAAUUGCAUCACUCAAAGAUGAUCCCGCGUUGUAUUAGCUAGUUGGUGAGGUAAAGGCUCACCAAGGCGAUGAUACAUAGCCGACCUGAGAGGGUGAUCGGCCACAUUGGGACUGAGACACGGCCCAAACUCAUACGGGAGGCAGCAGUAGGGAAUCUUCGGCAAUGGACGAAAGUCUGACCGAGCAACGCCGAGUGAGUGAAGAAGGUUUUCGGAUCGUAAAACUCUGUUGGUAGAGAAGAACGUUGGUGAGAGUGGAAAGCUCAUCAAGUGACGGUAACUACCCAGAAAGGGACGGCUAACUACGUG